ACUCUCUCAGGUCUGCAAAGUCACACUUGGUUUCAUCUGUGUGACUUUCAUAAUACCAAGAGAGAAGCAAAACUGCCUAAGGACCCCAGACUGCCCUUAUGGUAGCCUCUCUUUCCUUGAGUGGAAUAACAGAU
ensembl:snoRNA